GACGAACGCUGGCGGCGUGCCUAAUACAUGCAAGUCGAACGCAGUGGGGACGGGUGAGUAACACGUGGGUAACCGCCCAUCAGAGGGGAUAACACUUGGCAACAGGUGCUAAACCGAUACUGAUGGAUGGCACUGCGGUGCAUUAGCUAGUGGGUGGGGUAACGGCUCACCAAGGCCACGAUGCAUAGCCGGCCUGAGAGGGUGAUCGGCCACAGUGUGACUGAGACACGGCCCAGACUCCUACGGGAGGGAGCAGUAGGGAAUCUUCGGCAAUGGACGAAAGUCUGACCGAGCAACGCCGCGUGAAUGAAGAAGGUUUUCGGAUCGUAAAACUCUGUUGUUAGAGAAGCGGUAUCUAACCAAAAAGCCACGGCUAACUACGUGCCAGCAGCCGCGGUAAUUC
rnacentral:rRNA from 1 species